rnacentral:rRNA from 1 species
UACGAAGGGGGGCUAGCGUUGCUCGGAAUCACUGGGCGUAAAGCGCACGUAGGCGGAUUGUUAAGUCAGGGGUGAAAUCCUGGAGCUCAACUCCAGAACUGCCUUUGAUACUGGAGAGCUUGAGUCCGGGAGAGGUGAGUGGAACUCCGAGUGUAGAGGUGAAAUUCGUAGAUAUUCGGAAGAACACCAGUGGCGAAGGCGGCUCACUGGCCCGGUACUGACGCUGAUGUGCGAAAGCGUGGGGAGCAAACAGG